AGUUGUUGCCAGAAUCGAAACUCUUGAUAGAACCAAAUGAACCUGUUACAUCCUUAAAUCUCAUAAAUCAUGACAAUCAAUGUUAAAUAACAGAAGGCAAAGCACCAUGAAAACUAUAAUAAUCAUCAAAUAAAAAAAUAAAACUUCAUUACAGUCAUUAUAGCAUCCAGCUCUCGAAACUAAUUUGCCCUCUCAUCAAAGGAUGCCUGGUAGAAAUGGAACUGAUGCUGUAUGUUUACUUUCAACAUUAGCUUGUUCUUCAUGCAUUUGCCCUCUCAACUGAUGCUGUAUGUUUACUUUCAACAUUAGCUUGUUCUUCAUGCAUUUGCCCUCUCAACUGAUGCUGUAUGUUUACUUUCAACAUUAGCUUGUUCUUCAUGCAUUUGCCCUCUCAUCCCCGCCUCCUCCAGAGACAUACGAGUUUCAACAGAAGAGUUGUCUUUAACUUUAAAAACAGCAUCCACGACAACAAUACUUCUAGCAUCAGUGUCUCCAUGCUCUUGCUCUUCCACAGGUAGCUUCUCCAGAUUUAUCAUCUUCAUCCAUCAUAACUUCCAGGUUAUUUGCAACUGAAGAGAUAUUUUCAACUUUUGUUUCAUCAGCAGCAACGA